CGGCGGUGACCCGGGAGGACAGAACACGACCGCAAGACCCCAGCACCACCAGCCCACACCGACAGAGAGAGAGAGAGAACCAUGAAGACCCCCGCCAACGUCGCCCUGCUCCUCCUCAUCGCUUCCUGCGGCGUCUUCAUCCCAGUAUCAACCAAUGGCAAUACGACCACAGCAACGACUGAAGCCAAAGUGAUCACCACGGUCCCCUUGUCCACGGCCACAAGCGGGACGACCCCCUCCGCCGGGACAGCCAAGCCCAGCACGGUCCAAGUGAUCACCACGGUCCCCUCGUCCACGGCCACAAGCGGGACGACCCCCUCCGCCGGGACCACCAAGCCCAGCACGGUCCAAGCCACGGUAACGACCGGCAACCAUUCCUCCCCAGCGCCGACAACCACGCCUUCCAAUUAUACCGCGGCGCCCGUCUCCGUGACAACAGAUAACAAAACGUCGGAGCUCCUCAACAGCACCGGAGCCGUGUCCGGGAACGCCAGCACGGGAGGGCAGCAGAACUCCUCCUCCGAGGCGUCCACCCCCAAGGACCUGCCGAAAGUGAUGACCAGCAAGGCAACCACGCUCCCCCCCCCCAACCCGGGAAAAAGCCCCUCUGCCAACACUGUUCUUCCGACGAGGGGCCAGACGCAGUCGAAGGCCGUUGAGGAGCCUGAAAAGGGGAAGACGACGCUCGCAAAGUCAGAUAAGAAGCUCCUGUGGAUCCUGCUCCCCGUUCUGGGCAUCGCCGUGGCCGCCGUCUUCUUCCUGCUCAAAUUCAAGUGCAAGAACGUCCACAACCACAUGGACACCAUCGACAACGGCACAGAGAACCGCCCUGAAAGCACGAAGGACGGCGUCAUGCUGCUGGGGGUCCGAGCAUCCGGGGCCGGAGAGAAUGCAGCCACAGGAUCAAGAUAAUGGAAGGAAGGAGGAGAAGGUUUCCUCUUGGCCGAUGGAAUCAGUGGAUGGACGUAAGGACGGUCGGCGACGGCUCCUCACUCCUGGAUAAAAGAUUAUGAUUUGUUUUUAUUGUCAUUUUUGUACACGACGAGAUGAUUAUGAAGUGAUCAGAAAACAGAAGAUGUAAGAUAUGAGAGCGUUGGAGUUCACCAUGUAUAUUCGAUCCCGAUUUUUUCCGGGUUUUCAGAAAACACAAGUCCUGCUCCCCCCUGCACUGAGCCAGCUGAUUCACUCUGUCAUUACUACUGUGGGUUCAACCUCACCCUCACCCCAGCCCCUAUCUACUGAUGGUUACAUGAGGGAAGGGAGGUUUAUAUGAAGCCUAAUGCAUUCACUGGAGAAAUUAAAUUCUGCUCUUGCUUUUCUAAAUUAAAGGACAAAUCCGGUGUAAAAUGGAUCUGGGAUAUGUUUAGUAUGAUAACGAGUUGGAAUGUUCGCUUGGGAGCAAAAAUGCGCUUAUAGACGCAUUCUUAAAUUGGCUGUUUUUAGCCGAUUCUACCAAAACCCUAAAAACUUCGAACGAUGGGGGCAUUUGUUAUGGUAAAAACGAAAUCGCUACUUUGAACCACUUAAAAGGCUACAAGUAGCCCGACACUUCUUUAGUAGUAUAAUAAGGGUCUUAACAUAUAAAAUGAGGCGUUGAUAACUUUGUAAGUGCACAAAUUGUUUAUUAAAACGACAUUUUAUACACACAUUAGCUGUGUUCGAAAUCGUUCCCUUUACACUUGUUCCCUAUUCCCUAUAUAGUGUACAUGAUUUAGUGCACCACUGCACUAUAUAGGGAAUAGGGAACGAGAAUUCGGACACUACGCUGAACAUUUCUAAACGUCAUUUGCGUCAGUAAAUGCGCCGGGUAUUUGUGUGACGCAGACAGAUGCGCCCACAUCAGGUAAACAUACCAGGCAGUCACGAGGAAAGCUGGAGGUUGUAUUGAUGUUGAAUGUUACAUUUCCUUGUUCAAGUAUUUUUUUUAUUCAUUUUGAAUGUUAAAUAUUCUAUGUUAAAUCCCAAAUAAAUUGUUGACAUUUCUAAACGAAAGCCGGAGACUCCAUCAUUAAAUGUAUUCGUUUUCGCGGUUAUUCAGCUUCUUCUUCUCCUCCGGAAAAACACGACCGCAUUGCAUUGUGGUAUACGGGAGUAACAUGUAGGGAACAUCGUAUGUACCCUAUUUUAAGUCCACUAUAUAGUGCCCUAUAUAGUGGACCACUGAGAAUUCGAACACCCUACAAAAUGGCGUGCACCCUAUUUAGUGGACUACAUCCAUGAUAGGGAACGAUUUCGAACACAGAUAAUAACAUCAGUAGUUCACCCGUCGACGCCAUCUUGUUUUCAAGACUCGAUAAGUAGAUUGGCGAACACAUGUCCAUGGCGAACACAGGCUUGCGUGUUGCUGACGGAUGUCACAAUCUCUGUGUUCGUCAAUCUACCUAUCGAGUCUUAAAAACAAGAUGAACGUUCCAACUUGUUAGCAUACCAAACAUAUCCCAAAACCGGAUUCUCCUUUAACAACAUAAUUAUCUCCGAAAUCUGCGAUAAUUUUCUGUAGCCUAAAUUUUUAUUUAAGUUAAUUUUGAAAUUUCCGAAAUAAAUAGCAGAUCCCUAAAACUUUAUCUCAGAAUUCUGAGAUUAGUAUGUUGUUUAUUCAGAAACACAUGAGCUUUAUUUUCUUGAGUGAACGUAUUAUGCAACCCUUAUGCAAAGCAAUUCAUACAUGUGUUGUACACUGUGAUUAUUAGUUGUUUGCUAGCUUUUAUUUACUUUAAUUUCUGAUAUUAGGCUACAAAUGUACAUUUGUUGUUAGUUUUUUGUUGACUGAUUCAGCUUUCUUAUGCUUUGUAAACAUGACAACAAUAUUAGAAAUGGAAAAAGAAGUACUCUCUUGUAUUUUGUCCAUCUGAAAAAACCUAUUGGUGGAAAUCAGUGUCAACAUACAAUCACACACCAAAGUAUCCAUGAUUAGGUUGUUUAUUUUAUUUGACCAACAAACUGAUCUUCGUUUAAAGUUGAUAAUUGUUCCGUUAGUUAUUUAGUUGUUCCUUUAAUAAAUUCGACAUUUCUGGAGGGAAUCCUGCUUCUGCUCCGUCAUUCGUCGGUUCAUGACUUUCGCCACUAGAGGGAGCCAACGGCUCGUUCCUUGGUGCGAUUCUAGAAGGC
ensembl:lncRNA